GUUAAUACCCCAGUUAUCAAGGUAUGCUUGAGAUUCGACCUUUCGAAAGAAAGCGUUGAUAAUAAGUUUUUGGAUCCGCUCUGCUGGGGUUUCCGGCGGAGCAAA
rnacentral:sRNA from 1 species